CCUACGGGAGGCAGCAGUGAGGAAUAUUGGUCAAUGGGCGGGAGCCUGAACCAGCCAAGCCGCGUGAGGGAAGAAGGUACAGCGUAUCGUAAACCUCUUUUGUCAGGGAACAAAGGCGGGGACUAGUCCCCGGAUGAGGGUACCUGAAGAAAAAGCAUCGGCUAACUCCGGGCCAGCAGCCGCGGUAAUCCGGAGGAUGCGAGCGUUAUCCGGAUUUAUUGGGUUUAAUGGGUGCGCAGGCGGCCUGUUAAGUCAGCGGUAAAAGCCCGGGGCGCAACCCCGGCGAGCGGUUGAAACUGGCGGGCUUGAGUUGGAGAGAAGUACGCGGAAUGCGCGGUGUAGCGGUGAAAUGCUUAGAUAUCGCGCAGAACCCCGAUUGCGAAGGCAGCGUACCGGCUCCACACUGACGCUGAGGCACGAAAGCGUGGGUAUCGAACAGGAUUAGAUACCCGAGUAGUC
rnacentral:rRNA from 1 species